rnacentral:rRNA from 1 species
UACGGAGGGUGCGAGCGUUGUCCGGAAUCACUGGGCGUAAAGGGCGCGUAGGCGGCUCGUGAAGUCAGUGGUGAAAGCCCAGGGCUCAACUCUGGGUCGGCCACUGAUACUCGCGAGCUCGAGUUUGGUAGAGGCAGAUGGAAUUCCGGUGUAGCGGUGAAAUGCGUAGAUAUCGGAAGGAACACCUGUGGCGAAAGCGGCUCACUGGACCAUUACUGACGCUGAGGCACGAAAGCUAGGGGAGCAAACAGG